rnacentral:rRNA from 1 species
CCAUGCCGCGUGAAAUGAUGAAGGCCUUAGGGUUGUAAAAUUCUUUCGUCAGGGAUGAUAAUGACCGUACCUGAAGAAGAAGCCCCGGCUAACUUCGUGCCAGCAGCCGCGGUAAUACGAAGGGGGCUAGCGUUGUUCGGAAUUACUGGGCGUAAAGCGCACGUAGGCGGACUUUUAAGUCAGGUGUGAAAUCCCGGGGCUCAACCUCGGAACUGCAUUUGAAACUGGAAGUCUUGAGAUCAGGAGAGGUUAGCGGAAUACCGAGUGUAGAGGUGAAAUUCGUAGAUAUUCGGUGGAACACCAGUGGCGAAGGCGGCUAACUGGACUGAUACUGACGCUGAGGUGCGAAAGUGUGGGGAGCAAACAGGAUUAGAUACCCUGGUAGUCCACACCGUAAACGAUGAGAGCUAGUUGUUGGCAGGCAUGCCUGUCGGUGACGCAGUUAACACAUUAAGCUCUCCGCCUGGGGAGUACGGCCGCAAGGUUAAAACUCAAAGGAAUUGACGGA